AGAGUUUGAUCCUGGCUCAGGACGAACGCUGGCGGCGCGCCUAACACAUGCAAGUCGAACGAGCGAGAGGGAGCUUGCUUUCUCGAGCGAGUGGCGAACGGGUGAGUAACGCGUGAGGAACCUGCCUCAAAGAGGGGGACAACAGUUGGAAACGACUGCUAAUACCGCAUAAGCCCACGGCUCGGCAUCGAGCAGAGGGAAAAGGAGUAAUCCGCUUUGAGAUGGCCUCGCGUCCGAUUAGCUAGUUGGUGAGGUAACAGCCCACCAAGGCGACGAUCGGUAGCCGGACUGAGAGGUUGAACGGCCACAUUGGGACUGAGACACGGCCCAGACUCCUACGGGAGGCAGCAGUGGGGAAUAUUGCACAGUGGGGGAAACCCUGAUGCAGCGACGCCGCGUGGAGGAAGAAGGUCUUCGGAUUGUAAACUCCUGUUGUUGGGGAAGAUAAUGACGGUACCCAACAAGGAAGUGACGGCUAACUACGUGCCAGCAGCCGCGGUAAAACGUAGGUCACAAGCGUUGUCCGGAAUUACUGGGUGUAAAGGGAGCGCAGGCGGGAAGACAAGUUGGAAGUGAAAUCUAUGGGCUCAACCCAUAAACUGCUUUCAAAACUGUUUUUCUUGAGUAGUGCAGAGGUAGGCGGAAUUCCCGGUGUAGCGGUGGAAUGCGUAGAUAUCGGGAGGAACACCAGU
rnacentral:rRNA from 1 species